rnacentral:rRNA from 1 species
ACGAACGCUGGCGGCGCGCCUAACACAUGCAAGUCGAACGGGAUGAAUUUUCUCACUGAGUUUUUUGCGAGUCAGCCGGAAGCGCCAUUGAUGCGAAGCAUCAAUUAGGCUUAUUCCAGUAAGACUGACACAAAGGGCAAAAGACUGAGUGAGGAAAUUCAUUCAGUGGCGAACGGGUGAGUAACGCGUGAGGAACCUGCCUCAAAGAGGGGGACAACAGUUGGAAACGACUGCUAAUACCGCAUAAGCCCACGGCUCGGCAUCGAGCAGAGGGAAAAGGAGUGAUCCGCUUUGAGAUGGCCUCGCGUCCGAUUAGCUGGUUGGUGAGGUAACGGCCCACCAAGGCGACGAUCGGUAGCCGGACUGAGAGGUUGAACGGCCACAUUGGGACUGAGACACGGCCCAGACUCCUACGGGAGGCAGCAGUGGGGAAUAUUGCACAAUGGGGGAAACCCUGAUGCAGCGACGCCGCGUGGAGGAAGAAGGUCUUCGGAUUGUAAACUCCUGUUGUUGAGGAAGAUAAUGACGGUACUCAACAAGGAAGUGACGGCUAACUACGUGCCAGCAGCCGCGGUAAAACGUAGGUCACAAGCGUUGUCCGGAAUUACUGGGUGUAAAGGGAGCGCAGGCGGGAGAACAAGUUGGAAGUGAAAUCCAUGGGCUCAACCCAUGAACUGCUUUCAAAACUGUUUUUCUUGAGUAGUGCAGAGGUAGGCGGAAUUCCCGGUGUAGCGGUGGAAUGCGUAGAUAUCGGGAGGAACACCAGUGGCGAAGGCGGCCUACUGGGCACCAACUGACGCUGAGGCUCGAAAGUGUGGGUAGCAAACAGGAUUAGAUACCCUGGUAGUCCACACAGUAAACGAUGAAUACUCGCUGUUUGCGAUAUACAGUAAGCGGCCAAGCGAAAGCGUUAAGUAUUCCACCUGGGGAGUACGCCGGCAACGGUGAAACUCAAAGGAAUUGACGGGGGCCCGCACAAGCAGUGGAGUAUGUGGUUUAAUUCGACGCAACGCGAAGAACCUUACCAAGUCUUGACAUCCCUUGACGAACAUAGAAAUAUGUUUUCUCUUCGGAGCAAGGAGACAGGUGGUGCAUGGUUGUCGUCAGCUCGUGUCGUGAGAUGUUGGGUUAAGUCCCGCAACGAGCGCAACCCUUAUGGUCAGUUACUACGCAAGAGGACUCUGGCCAGACUGCCGUUGACAAAACGGAGGAAGGUGGGGAUGACGUCAAAUCAUCAUGCCCUUUAUGACUUGGGCUACACACGUACUACAAUGGCGUUAAACAAAGAGAAGCAAGACCGCGAGGUGGAGCAAAACUCAGAAACAACGUCCCAGUUCGGACUGCAGGCUGCAACUCGCCUGCACGAAGUCGGAAUUGCUAGUAAUCGUGGAUCAGCAUGCCACGGUGAAUACGUUCCCGGGCCUUGUACACACCGCCCGUCACACCAUGAGAGCCGGGGGGACCCGAAGUCGGUAGUCUAACCGCAAGGAGGACGCCGCCGAAGGUAAAACUGGUGAUUGGGGUG